UUAAGCGACUAAGCGUACACGGUGGAUGCCUAGGCAAUCAGAGGCGAUGAAGGACGUGCUAAUCUGCGAUAAGCGUCGGUAAGGUGAUAUGAACCGUUAUAACCGACGAUUUCCGAAUGGGGAAACCCAGUGCAAUUCGUUGCACUAUCGUUUGAUGAAUACAUAGUCAAACGAGGCGAACCGAGGGAACUGAAACAUCUCAGUACCUCGAGGAAAAGAAAUCAACCGAGAUUCCCCUAGUAGCGGCGAGCGAACGGGGAGCAGCCCAGAGUCUUAAUCAGCAUUAGCAUCAGGAGAACGGUCUGGAAAGGCCGGCAGUAAAGGGUGAUAGCCCCGUAUCCGAAGGUGUUAGUGUUGUGAACUCGACGAGUAGGGCGGGACACGUGUUAUCCUGUCUGAAUAUGGGGGGACCAUCCUCCAAGGCUAAAUACUCCUGAUUGACCGAUAGUGAACCAGUACCGUGAGGGAAAGGCGAAAAGAACCCCGGCGAGGGGAGUGAAAUAGAACCUGAAACCGUGUACGUACAAGCAGUGGGAGCACCUUUGUGGUGUGACUGCGUACCUUUUGUAUAAUGGGUCAGCGACUUAUAUUCUGUAGCAAGGUUAACCGUAUAGGGGAGCCGUAGGGAAACCGAGUCUUAACUGGGCGAAUGAGUUGCAGGGUAUAGACCCGAAACCCGGUGAUCUAGCCAUGGGCAGGUUGAAGGUUGGGUAACACUAACUGGAGGACCGAACCGACUAAUGUUGAAAAAUUAGCGGAUGACUUGUGGCUGGGGGUGAAAGGCCAAUCAAACCGGGAGAUAGCUGGUUCUCCCCGAAAGCUAUUUAGGUAGCGCCUCGUGAACUCAUCUUCGGGGGUAGAGCACUGUUUCGACUAGGGGGUCAUCCCGACUUACCAACUCGAUGCAAACUACGAAUACCGAAGAAUGUUAUCACGGGAGACACACGGCGGGUGCUAACGUUCGUCGUGAAGAGGGAAACAACCCAGACCGCCAGCUAAGGUCCCAAAGUCAUAGUUAAGUGGGAAACGAAGUGGGAAGGCUCAGACAGCCAGGAUGUUGGCUUAGAAGCAGCCAUCAUUUAAAGAAAGCGUAAUAGCUCACUGGUCGAGUCGGCCUGCGCGGAAGAUGUAACGGGGCUAAACUAUGCACCGAAGCUGCGGCAGCGAUAUGUAAAUAUUGUUGGGUAGGGGAGCGUUCUGUAAGCCUGUGAAGGUGUACUGUGAGGUAUGCUGGAGGUAUCAGAAGUGCGAAUGCUGACAUAAGUAACGAUAAUGCGGGUGAAAAACCCGCACGCCGGAAGACCAAGGGUUCCUGUCCAACGUUAAUCGGGGCAGGGUGAGUCGACCCCUAAGGCGAGGCAGAAAUGCGUAGUCGAUGGGCAACGGGUUAAUAUUCCCGUACUGGUGAUAAUUGCGAUGGGGGGACGGAGAAGGUUAGGCUGGCUGGGCGACGGUUGUCCCGGUUUAAGGAUGUAGGCAGGUGAAUUAGGCAAAUCCGGUUCACUAUAUGCUGAGGUCUGAUGACGAGUCACUACGGUGGCGAAGUAGCUGAUACCCUGCUUCCAGGAAAAGCCUCUAAGCUCUAGAUUAUCAUUAAUCGUACCCCAAACCGACACAGGUGGUCAGGUAGAGAAUACUCAGGCGCUUGAGAGAACUCGGGUGAAGGAACUAGGCAAAAUGGUGCCGUAACUUCGGGAGAAGGCACGCUGGCAUUAGGUGAAGUCCCUUGCGGAUGGAGCUCAAGCCAGUCGCAGAUACCAGCUGGCUGCAACUGUUUAUUAAAAACACAGCACUGUGCAAACACGAAAGUGGACGUAUACGGUGUGACGCCUGCCCGGUGCUGGAAGGUUAAUUGAUGGGGUUAUCCGUAAGGAGAAGCUCUUGAUCGAAGCCCCAGUAAACGGCGGCCGUAACUAUAACGGUCCUAAGGUAGCGAAAUUCCUUGUCGGGUAAGUUCCGACCUGCACGAAUGGCGUAAUGAUGGCCAGGCUGUCUCCACCCGAGACUCAGUGAAAUUGAACUCGCUGUGAAGAUGCAGUGUACCCGCGGCAAGACGGAAAGACCCCGUGAACCUUUACUAUAGCUUGACACUGAACAUUGAGCCUUGAUGUGUAGGAUAGGUGGGAGGCUUUGAUGCGUGGACGCCAGUCUGCGUGGAGCCAACCUUGAAAUACCACCCUUUAAUGUUUGAUGUUCUAACGUUGCCCCAUUAUCUGGGGUGCGGACAGUGUCUGGUGGGUAGUUUGACUGGGGCGGUCUCCUCCCAAAGAGUAACGGAGGAGCACGAAGGUUGGCUAAGCAUGGUCGGACAUCAUGCGGUUAGUGCAAAGGCAUAAGCCAGCUUGACUGCGAGAGUGACGGCUCGAGCAGGUACGAAAGUAGGUCUUAGUGAUCCGGUGGUUCUGAAUGGAAGGGCCAUCGCUCAACGGAUAAAAGGUACUCCGGGGAUAACAGGCUGAUACCGCCCAAGAGUUCAUAUCGACGGCGGUGUUUGGCACCUCGAUGUCGGCUCAUCACAUCCUGGGGCUGAAGUAGGUCCCAAGGGUACGGCUGUUCGCCGUUUAAAGUGGUACGCGAGCUGGGUUUAGAACGUCGUGAGACAGUUCGGUCCCUAUCUGCCGUGGGCGUUGGAAGAUUGAAAGGGGCUGCUCCUAGUACGAGAGGACCGGAGUGGACGCACCACUGGUGUUCGGGUUGUCAUGCCAAUGGCAUUGCCCGGUAGCUAAGUGCGGAAAAGAUAACCGCUGAAAGCAUCUAAGCGGGAAACUUGCCUUGAGAUGAGUCUUCCCUGACUCUUUAAGGGUCCUAAAGGAACGUUUAAGACUAAGACGUUGAUAGGUUGGGUGUGUAAGCGUAGCGAUACGUUGAGCUAACCAAUACUAAUGAACCGUGAGGCUUAACC
rnacentral:rRNA from 1 species